UUGCAUGCCUGCAGGUCGACUCUAGAGGAUCUACUAGUCAUAUGGAUUAGGGACCUGCCGCUAAUUCCGUAUGACUCCUGCACCAGGUAAAGAACUUCUUCGGAGCGAGAUGAGCUUGCGCUAGAUUAGCUUGUUGGCGGGGCAAAUGCCCACCAAGGCAACGAUCUAUAGCUGGUCUGGGAGGACGGACAGCCACACUGGGAUUGAAAUAAGGCCCAGACUCCCGCGGGAGUCAGCAGUGAGGAAUCUUGGACAAUGGGCGAAAGCCUGAUCCAGCUAUGCCGCGUGAGCGAUUAGAAGUCAAACCUUCUUAAGGUUCGUAAAUGAACUGUAAACCUCUUUUGCCAAACGAAAAUGAUGAUGUUAGUUUGCGCGAAUAAGCUCCGGCCAACUUCGUGCCAGCAGCCGCGGUAACACGAGGGGAGCAAGCGUUGUUCGGUUUGAUUGGGCGUAAAGCGCGCGUAGGCGGCUGCGCAAGUCGAUAGAAGUUAAACAACGGAGCUCAACUCCGUUACGCUUCCGAUACUACGCGGCUUGAGGCCGGUGGAGGCGAACGGAACUCCAAGUGUAGAGGUGAAAUUCGUUAAUAUUUGGAGGAACACCAGAGGCGAAAGCGGUUCGCCAUGCCAGUUCUGACGCUAAUGCGCUAAAGCGUGGGGAGCAAACAGGAUUAGAUACCCUGGUAGUCCACGCCCUGAACGAUGAGUGCUAACAGCUGAAAACCUAACACAAGUUUACGUUUUUGAUUGUAAAGCUAACGCGUUAAGCACUCCGCCUGGGGAGUACGGCCGCAAGGGUUGAAACUCAAAGGAAUUGACGAGGACCCGCACAAGCGGUGGAGCAUGUGGUUUAAUUCGAAGCUGCACGUAAAACCUUACCAGCUCUUGACCCUGUUUGCCGAGUUGUUUUUGGAAACAUACUUCUCGAUGGCAAACAACAGGUGCUGCAUGGCUGCCGUCAGCUCGUGUCGUGAGACGUACGGUUAAGUCCUAUAACGAGCGCAACCCUCGUCCUUAGUUGCUUCCAAGCGAAAGCUAGCUCUCUAAGGAGACUGCCGGCGAUAAGCUGGAGGAAGGGGAGGACGACGACAAGUCAUCAUGGCCUUUAUGGGCUGGGCCACACACGUGCUACAAUGGUGGGAGACAGAAAGUCGCAAUGUCGCGAGGCGGAGCAAAUCUCCAAACCCCACCUCAGUACGGAUUGCACCCUGCAACUCGGGUGCAUGAAGCAGGAAUCGCUAGUAAUCGCGGAUCAGCAUGCCGCGGUGAAUACGUUCCCGGGUCCUGUACACACCGCCCGUCACACCAUGAAAAUUGAUUUACCUUAAGCCACCGCUACUCAGCGGUGAUGAAUGUUAUAUCAAUAAUCGAGGUG
rnacentral:rRNA from 1 species